rnacentral:lncRNA from 1 species
AUCGAGGUCCAAAAAUAUAGAUGGUUUUUAGGAGUGAGUCCAGUUAUCUAAUUAUAUGUUUUUAUUUCUUUUAUACUCAUUUUAUAUUUUUUUAAAUAUUAAAAAUCAAUUAAAAUCUUCUAAUAUUAUGCAUUUUUCAACUCCAAAAAAUCUAAUUAAUAUCUUAUAACAAAAAUAAAAACUAAUAUACUAACAUAAAAAUAAUUAACAUAAAAAUAAUUAACAUGUGAUAUAGGUUGAUUAUAAAAAUUAAAAAUAAAAUCUGUAAAUGGGGUUUAAAGCAUGAGGAAGAACAAGAAAUAACAAAAAUAAAUAAAAAGAAAUAAUCAAAGAGAUAAUUAGGAAGAAAUUUGACUUGUAUAAUAAAUCUUAUCAUUGAAUAGAUAAUUAUUGAUAACAAAAUAAUUAAAUUUAAGGAAUUGGACUUAUUUUAAUAAAUUGGACUAUUUCUACUAUUGGCUAAAAAAAUUGAACUUAUAUCAAAUUUUCCUUUUUUUUAUUGAAAUGAAAUAUAAGACCUUUAAGCUAACUUAUAGUAUUUUCAGGCCAAAAAGGACAAGUUUAGAGUUUUUUUCAAAUAUACAAUUUACUCCUCACAUGCUUAGGCAAUACAUAUCCAUUAUAAAAUAAGUAGAAACUUAAAACAAAAACCAGAUUUUCACUCUCAAUACUUUAAUAAUCCCAACAAUAAUUUGGUUGUGAACCAAGGCAAAACAAUGAAAUAAUAAACAGUUGGAAUUAUCAAUGACAUAUUAUCUUUUUGUUAACAAAGGAGGGAAUGGAAUAUUAAGUCUAUUCGGCUAUCGUUUUUUUUUUUUUUUUUAAGUUAAAGUUUCUAUUAUACUCUAAAAUUUAACGGAAAAAAGGGCGUUAGUGAAAAUGAGAAAUAGUGCAACACAUUGCUAAGAUUAAGUUAAACUAUGGGUAAAGUUCAUAAAUCAUUGUUAUAAUUAAGCCAAUCUAUUUUAAUUAUAAUAUUCACUCAUGACUUUAUCAUCCCUCGCCAAUCGAUGAAUCAUAAGAACUUUAGCUUUUAAGUGAUAUUGCUAAGAAUAUUUUGGCAAUAAAAUUUUAACUAAUUGAUUACUUAAGUGGGAGUGAGGGGGGGGGGGAGGGGGGACAUAGACCAAUAUAUCAAGUGUCGUAAUACAAUUGAUCGAUUUUUUUGUUUAAGUUUUCAAUCAAUUGUAUUAUGAUAUUUGGUAUACUGAGUCGUAUUUCCAGCAUAUUGAAUAAUCUCUUGACAUGUGGAUUGGAAAUGUCUAAGCACACAGGAAAUAGUGGUGAAAAGGUUGGGACCAAUAUUUAGGGUUGGAUUCUAUCUACAAAAAUAAUGAUUGGUUUAUAACUAAGUAUUGUUGCUAAUUUGAUUCUAAUUUUUGUUGUGCUUAUAUAGAAUAAUGAUAUAUUAUGAAGAAUCUAAUUCUAAAUCUAAUCUGACCAUGCAAUUUGUUAUGUGUUCAAUAUUUAAGGUACGGUUUUUGAGUUGUCCACUUUGCACAAAGUUAUUCCAAUCACUAUAGUUUAAUCAUUUCACUAAUACUCAUGACUCAUGAUUGUUCAAAAGACUAUGGGGAAUUACAAAAGAAAAUACCAAAAGCUUAAUAAACAACAAAAGUAGCAAGGCCAUACCAUCAAAUCCAUUAAAAAAAUUUCUCUAAAUCCACACAUCUCAAAUGAAAUAUGAAUAGUGGAUCAUAUUUUGCACGAUUAUCUCACCAAAAUCAUGAAUAAAAUCUUACGCGUUUUCCUUUUCUCAAAUAAUGAAAUAAUACGAGGUUUGAUCUGGUUUGAUUUGGUUCGGUUCGGUUCUGUUAUAAAAUAUACAUCAAAUUAACAAUUAUCAGUUAUUUACAAUUUAGAGCUGAUUGUUUGUUUCAUACUCUUUUGCCUAUUAUACAAAAUCAAAUGAGAGAGAAUUUGAACCAUGUGAACUAAUGCAAGAUUAAAAUAAAAAGUAAUAUGGGAAGAAAGUUGAAAUUUCAUCAUAAAAUCAAUUAGCAAUAUGAAGAGUAGUUUAAUAUCUUCUAAGCCUUUGCAAGGUUUCUCCUUUCACUGAUGUGAGACUUUGUUACUUUACAUCCUCACACGCUCACUCACGUGUAAAUUUUUUCAAGCCAAUUACGUUGACAACACAAAUUGAGUGACGUUGAGCACGUGUGACUGUUGGGCUCACAUGAUGUGAGACUCUUUCACCUUCACUUCCUCAAACGCCCCCUCACGUGUAACGAAUUUUCAAGUCAAACACGUAAACAACACAAAUUGAGUGACGUGAAACACAUAUGGCCGUUGAGCUUCAUACAUGGGUAUAGAGGUGGCAAAUCAAUCAAUUGAGUUGUUAAUGGGUACCCGUUAAGUCUCGUUUAAUUUGAUAUCACCAUUAUAUAAAGGUGAGAUUGGUAGUGGUGAUAAUAGUGUAAGGUGAAAUCAAACUAAAUGGGUCUUAAUGGGUACCCGUUAAUAACUCAAUAAGUUGAUUUGCAUCACUACGUGGCCCAACCUGCUUUGAUACUAUGAAGAAAAUUAAGAUUUUACUAUAAGACCAAUUGACAAUAUGAGAAGUAAUCCAAUCUUUUAUAAAUCCUUGCAAAAAAUUUCUUUCGCGGAUGUGUUACCCAUACAUCGACCCUCACAAUUAAUGAUAAGUAGAUAUGAGAAAAUAUGAUUGAGCCAAAAAUUGGCACCAAUGGGUCUUAAGAGGAGAUUUGGAUAUAUUUUGUUGGGAUGUGGUAAGCAUAUGCCAAAUGGAAGGAUGAGAAUUGACCCCAAACCUCCAACAAGACAUGCAACACAAAAUUGCCAACACAACACGUAAAGAAAAUUUAGAAAAUUGAGUCUUACAAAAAACAAUACAUCAAUUUUUAAAUAGCUAACAAACAGCACCUUGUCGAUCCUCAUCCUCCUCCAAUCUUCCUCCCCUUCAUGUGACAACAUACAGUAUAUUUAUUUAUUUACAAACAAAAUUAAAUAUGUUACAUAAAACUUUAAGGACGUGUCCCUAUUUUCCCAUUUCUACUGAGUCAAAAAGAUACUUUGACUGAGUCCCUUUCUCAUCAAACUCUCUCUCUCUCUCUCUCUAUCUCUCUCUCUCAUCACACUGCAGUUACCAAUGUUUUUAUUUCGACAUCAAACUCUCUUUAGUCCUCCCAUGUGGCUUCUCAUGGCAACUCCCUCUAUCUCGUCAUACUCUGACUCAGUAUUUUUUCUCAUUUCAACUGUUUGCAGAUACACAACCAGAUUAUGAAUUAUGUUAGGUCUCUUAAUGUAUCAACGGUCCAAGAGAUAUAUAUAUAUAUUUUUAUGUAAGUGGUGAGAUGAGAUCUCUUAAUCACCUUUUGUAAAGUAGAAGUGAUGAAGAUCACAUAUGGAUAUCUUAAGGUUUCUUUUCAUUGAGGUAUUAUACAAGUAUGUGAUGCUCGUCACGGAUUAGGGAUUCUCUCCGGAUCUUCUUUGUGAUGAUCCUGGAGAUCCUCUAAUCACAUUUGUUCAUCAUAUAUAGUGCAGUCAAUUUUUAUCAGGUACUAUUUAUAUUUAACUUUAAAUAACAAGAUUUACAAUGAUUUCUGACAGUACGAUAUACGAUAAACAUAUGUGAUUGGAAGAUCCCGGAAUCCUCACAAAGAGGAUAUGGAGAGGAUCCUCAUUCGGUCACACUUGAGUUAUUUUUCCAUUGAAUUAAAAUCGCAUACACAUAUCUGAUCGAUUGAGCUUAAUAUUUGUCAAGAACGAAGAUCUUGCAUGGGCUUAUAAGAAAGUAGAGCUACUUCCCAUUACUAAUUGGUUUUAUGAUGGAACCUUAACUUUUUAUGAUAUCAAAGCAAUUUAUCUCACGUAUGAAACCCAACAACCACACGUCACCACAAAUGUGUUGAGCUAUUUCUUAUAUUGUCAAUUUGUAAUCUCAACUUUUUUCGCAGUACGUAAUCGUAAGUUUCGGAAUGAUUAACUAUGAAGUUAGGUUUGUAAUGGUGAUUGCACAAUUUGGAUUAUUCAGUCGAUAUACGCUACAGUUAAUAGUCUUUGAGUGAAUAAGAGAGGUGGACCCAUAAGGGGAUUCACAUCAACCAAUCAUGAAAAUUACGACUUUUUUGGUGAGGAAUUUUGGAGUCUCAAGAAAUUGAGGUCAAGUAUUUGAAAAUUUAUCACAAAAAGUUAGAUAUGAAGCAUUAGAAAUGUUGUUCAUCAACAUUGCAAAAGCAAGCGAGACGGAUUUGCACAUUCUGAGAAAUUUUGUUUUUUGUUUUUUGUUUUUGUUUUUUUUCAGCUAAAGAUUGUUAUCAUCUGGUAUGAAAGCUCAGCUUGUAAGGAUAUAGUAACGCUACAAUCUUUUAGAUCUAUGGUCACUAAUAUCAUUACUCCACUAAUGCAUACGAUUGUCAAACAUCGCAAAAUAGAACCUCUAAACAUGAAUGUUUGGAAGAUGAGAAUGCAGUUGCUUCUCAAAAAACAAGAUUUUUUUUUCAUUCUUGAAAAAAGAGAGCAAAUUCCUAUUUAGAAUGGACCAUUUAAAAAUAUCCCUCCUCUAAUCUGUCAUUCUACAUUGUGCGACCAAUUCCUUAGUAAUUUGAUUUGACCUCAAUCACUUAUGACUUGAAAAUUCUUCAAACAUAACCUACAAAUCCAAGUUGACCGACUGUGAAAUGUACUUAAAUCCUAAUCAAUUAACCAUAUUAAGAACUUAAAAGUUCUCUAAAAUGCGGUGGGUGGGUGGCUUGGCUUGCAUUGGAGUGGAAGGACAUGCAAAUAAAAAAGACAAGAGUCAUACAUAAAGAGUUGCAUUUGAUAAACAAAUUGAGUGAAAUCUUAGGUAACAAACUUGAGUCAGAAGUCGGUAUUUAUUAUUGGAGGAAAACCUGUCACAAUGCCAGUCUUUUUUGUGUACUCACUCACUCAGUAGCCCAGUGGACAGUUGGGAGGCGUGGGGGGACCUCUAUUUUGUAAGGAUUGACAUCGUCUUCGGAUCUCAUACUUUGAAAUCUAUGAAUCGAGUAAUUUGGAUCGUUUAAGAGAGAAAUAUUUGGACGUUGGAGAGAGAGAUUGUGUAUGAGAUGGACAAAUGUGAUUAACUAAUGAGAACUGCAUGAUUAAAAUUGCUCAAUCUACGGGCUCCGGAGCGUGAGAUUUGGAGAGGAUACCAAUCCACUUUGUAAUUCAGUUCCUCCUACCUAGCACUGGGCUGGUUGGAAGUUGCAAUGUCUAGCUUUCUAACUCAGACUAUCAUGAGAUGGGCCUCACUGAUGCUUAUUGGCACAGCUUCUUUCGUUUGGCUUUGCCACUGCUAGACCAUCUGAAAUGGGAAGAGAAAGGGGGAGAGAAACUUCCACUCACUUUGCAUGAGGGGAUGAAAGUGGGAGAGAAACUACUCUGCCGUUGCUGCCCGGCCAAAACAUAACGGGUGGGAUGAAGAGAAGGGUGUGUCAUGUGUGUGUGUGUGUGUGUGGUGCCCCGGGGAUGGUUAGGCGGGCGGUCCGGAUGCUAGACCCCAAUUUUUUCCAAAAGGGCGAAGGUUCAAAAUGUAGUUAUUGAGAAAAUCUUGUGUCUAUUUCUCGUUGUGUGAGUAAUGUGAGCAAAGAGCCGUGCAUAUAGUUAGAAGUGGUGGACUCAUGAAUUUGUGAUGAUUGACAGAGUAGAAAGAGAUUAUUAUACAAAAAAUUGUAUAAGAUAUUUCGUCAAACACCCUUAACUCAUAAUGUUACGGCCAAAUUAAAUAUCUAACUUAAGUGUAUACGAUUUUCUCUUGACAUUCAGGAUAUUUGAAGCUUGUUUUGUGGACUUAAAAACACUAUAAAGCUCUGAGCUUUAUCCCACUAGAAGAAAAAUCUUAAAAAUUAAGGGCUUAAAGCACUUGAAGAUAAAAGGAUGGAAUCAUAUAUAAUACAAGAGGACUAGUUGUUGAGACUAGAGAAUUCCCCUUUCAACUUAUCCUGCAAGAAAAACAAGCAAGACUCAAUGGAAGAGAAUCAUAACCUUGAGUUUGUUUUUCGGUGGUCCAGUCUAUUGAGUAGUCUGACUUUUUAAAUAAUUUUCAUCAUUCAAUUAUUAGAGUCAAUCUUCUCCGAUUGAUUUCCUGAACUACUCAGUAAUCCCAUACUAUUGACGAAAAUUACAUAGUUUGAUGAUCAAACUCUGUGUUUGUAAGUCCAUAUUUCUCUUACUCUUAUGCAAUUGCUACUCUUGAAAAAUAAAAGGAAAAUAAAUACAUUAAAGAUAGACAAAGUCACUUAACAUGAGCGCGUGCCACAAAGCUAAUGUUUAUAACACUACUUAUAUGUUAUGUCAACAUCACUUAUGGACUAAUUGUGAGAAACUCUCUUUGGACUAACUGGUAAAGAACCAUUUAAAUGGUUGAAUUCAUGGAACGAUAACCAUUCAUCUGCAGAAAAAAAUUCAAAACAUCCCCAUUGGGCCAAUAGGAAAAACUUCCAUGUGCCCUUCACUUUCGGAUGUGGGGCAACUCUCAUAUCUACUGUCAUGAGAAAAGUUUGGAUUCUACCUCAAAAUUAAUUGUCGGAGUGGACUAACUUAACAACUUCUUAUAAGCCUAUGCAAAGUUUUCUAGCUUUUCGAUAUGAUACAGCUCUCCACUUCCUCACAUGUAGAAAUCACAAUGGGAAUAAGGUUUGAUAAGAGAGAAUAAAUUUAAAACAUCAGGCAACAACUUACCAUCAUAAAGCAGAGAACCCUGUUUGAGGUCACCAUUUUCUAAGACAUGUAAUAAAAAACCAAAAGAAAUUUCAACUUGGUCAUUUUCAAAUGUGCAGUACCGACAAGAAAAUCUGCACAUAAUCCUCAAGAAAAUCCAACAUUACCGAAAGAAAAUGCAGAUAUUAUGGAGGUAAUGCAAAAAGCUCCAUAAAGUAAUCCAAAUUCAGCCCUACGAUUAUUAGCCGAAUUAAUGAUUUGUGUUCAUAAUUUCAACAGAAGAAAAUGAGUCCACAUGCUUUGUCAUCAUCAUAUAAGACAAAUUAUUACUAAAAACUUCAAAAUCACGAGCAGAGCAUCUCCAACGUUACUAGCUAAUUUUUUGUUAUUGUAACUAAUCGGAUAACCCAAAUGUUAAUUUGGCUGAACAUCAUUUCCAACAAUACUAGAUAUUUUAAGUUAAGUUAAAAUAUUUUAAUAUUAUAUUUUCUAAACUUAACAACUUAAGCCUUUUUUAUGCUCUUGAAGCCCACAAACAGUGCAUUUUAUAGUUUGUAAUGUUUAGAAGGAGGUAACUUUUUUUCUCAUCUGAGCUAAAUUUAGCUGGUUAAUAAUUUAGCUAGUCUGUUGAAACUUGAAUUUUCUCCUUUUUAUUUAUUUAUUAAAGUAGGAAAAAAUCUCAUUUAAUUAGGCUGUUGGAAGUCCUUUUAAUAGGUUUACGUUUAAGUUUACUUGCUGACUAAAUUUGACAUACACCAAUAAUGGUCGGCUAAACUUAAAUUAGUCCAAACCCCAAUUGAUAAUCUUUCUUCCGAAGAUUGUCUUGUGUGCGACCGGAUACGGCAUAUUUUCUACGGGGUGGGUGGGACCAUAUGUCUCUCGGGGUGUCGAGAAAAUAUA